CUUGAGUACCCCCAUAGUUCACUAGCAUUAUAUCCACUCCCAUGGCAAUGACCCUUUCCAAAUAAACUUACCAACUCAUCUUGGAUGACCUUUCCACUGCGUUAUUUAGGUCCACAAACCUCUGAGCCACAUUCCCAAUAAAGCGUGCAUUCUACACCAGGGAGGCCGCACUGUGCUGAGUGAGGCUGCUUGCCAGUGCGGUCAGAGUCCGCCUCCUCUAUCCAGGACAUAAAGACUUCGCCAGCCUCCUCACAGAGGAAGCAGGCAUUUCAUCUGCAUACUUUGCAGCAACCAUGACAACCUUCGUGAAGCUCAGAACCAAAGCCAAGAUGCCCCUGGUGGGCCUGGGCACCUGGAAGAGCAUCUGCCUUGAGUUUGAAACCCCAGAAUUAUCACCCAUCGUCCGUUUAUUCGAGGCCACUUUGGAUUGCAGAAUUCCAAGAUGAGGCCUUUCCUAGAAAUGACAGCCGCCUUGGCGAGUAUCAGGUGUAAACUGGUACUCUUUUCGGGGAAGUUAUUCUCUUAGCUUUUCCUUGGGACUCUGAGGGUCUCUGUUGGCUUGUUACUGGCUGGCUGACUGAGAGAAAGGA
rnacentral:sRNA from 1 species